AUGGCAGCAAGAUUUCAAAGAAGAUUUUGGGGGAGAGAGCAGGGAGUGGCUCAGGGAAAGAAGUGGAGUGUUGAGUCAGUUGGCUUAAUGGGAACCUGGUUUGCCCAUUUUGAAAACCACAACGGAGAAAUAAUCACCCAGAUCUACUAUUUUUUCACCUUAAAACAUCCUGGGGCCCGUCAUCUUGCACCCUGGCUCUGCAGGGCAGGAUUGGAAGGUCUCUGGGGGGCCCCGCUCCUCUGAAGGAUCACCUGCCCCACCUGUCACAUUCCUCCCUGGCCAGGCCUCACACUAAAGAGACUCGCCUGGCUCCACCAACACCCACUCCAGACUCUGUAGGGGGGUAUCAGCAGAAAUUGAAUCUUUAG
rnacentral:lncRNA from 1 species